rnacentral:rRNA from 1 species
GACGAACGCUGGCGGCGUGCUUAACACAUGCAAGUCGUGCGGUAAGGCCCUUUCGGGGGUACACGAGCGGCGAACGGGUGAGUAACACGUGAGCAACCUGCCCUUCACUUUGGGAUAACUGCCGGAAACGGUGGCUAAUACCGGAUAUGACUUCUUCACGCAUGUGGGGUGGUGGAAAGCCUUCGGGUGGUGGGGGAUGGGCUCGAGGUCUAUCAGCUUGUUGGUGGGGUGAUGGCCUACCAAGGCAUCGACGGGUAGCCGGCCUGAGAGGGUGACCGGCCACAAUGGGACUGAGCAACGGCCCAGACUGCUACGGGAGGCAGCAGUAGAGAAUAUUGCACAAUGAGCGAAAGCCUGAUCCAACAACGCCGCGUGAGGGAUGACGGCCUUCGGGUUGUAAACCGCUUUCGACUGCGACGAAGCGAGAGUGACGGUAGCAGGUAAAGAAGCACCGGCCAACUACGUG